AUUUCUAUAGGAGCAAGUGCUAGAACAGAAGUUUUCACCAAAAACAAAGGAAGUAAGUAGAGACAAAAGCAAUACAACAAGACCAAGGAAAAAAAAGCCAGGAUGUUGAUUUGGGGACUCUUGACAGUGGAAGGAGGUGCCAGCCAACUACUGAGAGGAAUGGAUCAGGCUUUUAAGAAAUUACUUCUGUGAUGAAGAGAGGAAAAGAUCCCAGAUUCUUUACCCAAGGAAUUCCCACCACCUUGUGUGAACAGAGAACAGAGAGCGAACAGAGAGCAUGGAGGAGCAGGUGGCCAGCAGCCCUGGGAUGGGGUGGGGGACAGAAACUCAGCACCUGACUGAGGUAAGGAGGAUUUCCUAAUGCAAAAACUUGGAAGUAAUCUUAUCCCCGUGAGCUAAAAUUUAUUUAAUGCUUGUAGCUUUUCCCGAGUAGCUCCAAAUCAUGCAUUAUUGGGUGGUUAUUUAUUUUAAUAUUCUCUGUCAAUGGUUUUCUUACUGAGGGACAAUUUACCAGUGUUUGAUUUUGAUAGUGGAAUAUUUGGGGACGAAAGAACAAAUAAACUCUGCCUCAUUUAGAGCUUUUUGUACAAACAAAUGGCUUAACAUUUUCAAUCUUUCACGUUAUGUCUCUACCAUGCAAGUGCCUUGAACAACCAUGGGUAUAGCAGGGGAAAAAAUGUACUAUCUGAGGGCUCUCCAGUUAGA